GUUGUUCAUCUUCGUGAGAGAAGAGAACAGCGAAUGAGAGAAGACUGAAGCUGACCCUCCACGCCCGAACCCCAGCCUGCCACCGCCCCCUCCUUCGUCGCCGCGGUCACCGGUCAACAGCCCAACCACCGUCGCCUGGUCGUCAGCCCAAGUAACCCUCCUUCUUCGCCUGGUUCCCUGCCCAGUAGCCAGCCGUCUGCCUCGUCUUCAUCUGCCCCGUCCCAUCGUCUUCAUCGUCACGCGGGUGGGAAUGAAGGUGAAGAUCAUCCCACCGAAGCAGAUUUGCAACAAGUUCUUGCGGAUUUUGAUAAUUGAUAAACAAUGAUGUUGGGAUUUAAUAUUUACAUAUGCUUUUAUUACUAUUUAACUUUUGAGUUUGGAUUUUGAUAAGAUCAUAUGUAUUUGGUUGAUGAUAUUUUAUGUAGUGUUUUUAAUUUCGAAGAUAUUUUAAGAUU